rnacentral:rRNA from 1 species
UAGGGAAUCUUCCACAAUGGGCGCAAGCCUGAUGGAGCAACACCGCGUGAGAGAAGAAGGGUUUCGGCUCGUAAAGCUCUGUUGUUAAAGAAGAACACGUAUGAGAGUAACUGUUCAUACGUUGACGGUAUUUAACCAGAAAGUCGCGGCUAACUACGUGCCAG